CAAACACAUCAGGGCAGAUCCCCUUCCUCUUCCCCACGCACGAGCGGGCACACCGCCACCGCCGACGCCUUCCUCGCGGAGUUUGCGGCCGAAGGAUCGGUUGGGGCGCACCGGGUCGGCCUUCGGUGGGGCGCAGUGCGAGCUCUCGGCUUGGGGCAGGAGGCGGCUCGAUGAAGAGGAGCUGGGGCGCGGCGCUCCUCUCCUGGUGUGGCGCACGAGGGAAGGAGGAGGGGAUUGAUCCAAGACGGGAGCUGAGGCUGGCGGCGCCCUUCACACAAGCCUCACCGGCGGUGCCUUCUACACAAGCCUCACCGGCGGUGCGGCGGGAGAGCUCCGACCCGUCCAUAGGUGCAGGGAUACAGAUCCGCGUCGCCAGCCUGUACUAGGCCGAGGUUGAUGCGCCGGCGCAGGGGUCGCCGUCCAUCUUCGCCAGGCCUCCAGAGUACUCCAGCAACAGCCACUGGACGGCAGAUAUUUUGCCGGAUGACCCACUGUAUGAGCAUGCCACAUCCUUUCUUGCUCACCCAGCACACGGCAUUCCUUACAGUAGAGGUACCACACGGGGUGGUGACUGGGAGGCUGGGACAUGCUGGCACGGCCAAACAGCUGGUUUACUGCAAUCAGGGUGCUAGAGGCUCUUGGGGUUGCAGCCCGCUCGCCUGCUGGAGGUACAAUGUUGAUUAUUUAGAGACCUCAUCUUCAUGAGACUAGCAAGGGAUGGACAUUCUGAAGAAGAAGAGAUGAGGUCCCUGCACUUCCGUUGACGAGUAUUUUGUCAGCAUCUCGAUGCGGAGGACAUUUAUUUGAAAUACUAAAUUGUGGUGUCGCUACCUCUAAGGACCACAGCGUUGUAGCGCCCUUGGCUCAAGGUGACCAUCUUCAGCGCAUCGUGGUGUCGCUGCCCACACGAUCUCUACAGACACCACAAAAGGCUACAGGACCGAGGAGGCCGGUGGCCUGACCACUGAAUCACGUUGUCGUGCGGGCGCCUUGAUCUCGCAUGCGCUGCACAGGUUAGAUUGACAUUUUGCCCUGUGUUUAAUUACUACAUGCACUGCACACUGAUCCAUGUAUAUAUUGGCUCCCCUAUAUAUACCUCUGUUGGUGAAAAGUUUUGACUUUCGAGUUUUGUCAGACGUGAGUUGCAACAAUUUUCAGUUACUUUUCUAUGCCUGCCAUUCAUCUCUGAACCGUUGUGAUGGAGAUUGUAAUACUGUGUUUAGAAUAUGUCAGUCCAUAUGCAAGAUCUUCUUUUCAACUUGGCAACCAUGAUUAUACAUUAGUCAUCUAUACUUUACAAGCAUAUGAGAUAUGUGUAAUUUUUUUUGCGGGAAGAUAUGUGUAAUUAAUGUGUUCGUCGGAGCCGAACCUGCAAUCGCUUGUCGCCCUUGCCUUUAGCAAUUCAGCUAGGUUAGGGGAUGGGGAUUCAUUUGGAAUCGAAUGAGGGAGUGGCACGGACACAAGGUUAUCGGGCUGGCGGCUGCUCAUGCGCCUAACCAAACACCCAUUCGGUUUGGUGUGUGGCCACUGUUGCCUACCGUGGGUGCAGUUUGGGUUGGACUUAGUAUCGUGGGCUAAGCCCAAAAAAUAGUGCAAAAUACGUUACAAAUGAAAUAUAAUAUUUAAAAAAAAUCAUCGCCAUAAAAAUGAUACCAUUUAAAAAAUAUUCUUCAAAAUUUUAAAAACACUUUCUCAAAGUAAAAAGUCCGUGUUUUUCUGAAGAAAAAAAGUUGAUUGAUUUUUUUUUUGGAUAAAAU